CACACAUGUGGUGAAUUUCAAGCUCCCACUGAAUGCAGAGAAGGGAAGGAUGUAGACAGUUGGCUUGGGCUCCAGCACCCCACAGGAUAAGGAAAACAUUGAGCCUCUUGAAGAGAACUAUUCCUGCCGUAAGUUUGGCAACCAGAAGACCAGCUCCUUACAGUAACAGGGAGUGAGCAUGGCUAUGGCUUUGAGCAGGGUCGCCUGAGAACAAAAUGCAGAAACAUCAUCCCUGCAAGCCUGCAGUCCACUCCACCCACGGCUUCCUCUGCCUUGAGAAUUGUAUCAUCACUAUGCAAACCAGAACACUCAUUGCGAGACCUGUUGAGUUUUCUUCUUGACUUCUUCGUUUCUUCACUCUGUGCUCUCCUCUGCUUGCCCGGGCUGUUGCUGCAGCCCACUCCCAGGCCACCGCUCCUAUCCUUCCAACCACCCAGUUGUCACACAGCUGCUGGAGGGUUCUUGCACGUUGAAAUUGUGUAUCCCUCACUUUCUUCAAAAUCUUUCUGUAGUUCACCAUCGCUGCAAUGACAACACGUUAGCUCUGUAGUUCCCUGUGCAAGAUUCCAGGCCACGCACAGUUCUGUGUUUUCUCCUGUUGGGACAUGGUCACCCUCUUUCUUGAACCUGAUUUACCUCUGUUCUUCUGGUUUAUUGAAUUAUAAUUGUUGAAUACUUACUUAUCUCCUGAAUUAUUUCUCCUCUCACAAGACUCCUCUGUCUUGCCCCUCAGACGCCCCCAG
rnacentral:lncRNA from 1 species